rnacentral:lncRNA from 1 species
ACAUACCACAUUCUCUUACAAAAUCUAACUUGUAACAGAUAAUUUACAUUUCUAGAGAACAAGCUCUUUAUGGUACAUAGAAAUAAUCCUGUCAUACAGUGACCAUUCAGAGAGGGAUAAAAACCUUAUAUAUGAAACUUUCACUAAUAACCUGAAACAUCACCACAGAGACAGUUGGGUUAUCCUGUUUGUUUGGACAUCCACUUAUUCACUUGAAAUGCAGGAAAUCUAUUUGAAAAAAACAAAACAAAACAUGAUCAGUUACUUGAUACAAUCAUGAGAUGUGAUCGAGAAAAACUUAUUAAGGAAUUAUUUUGUCAGAGUCAGUCUCUCUCAACAAGAAAAAGAAGAGAAUGUUUUCUGAAAAAUGAAAUUUUGGAUAAAUUUGAAGGGGCGUUAGACUGUGGCAAAGGAAAUGCAUGACAAAUCUUGGGAAUAGAAUAAGGGAAGAAACUUGGCAUGCUCUUGUAACCUGCUCUGGCCAAUAAAAUCUGAGUGAAAUUUCCUGGAAGAGCUUUGUAGAAUCAAUAUGUGGUACUCAUUCUUCUUCUACGAGAUGAGAAAUGUUCUAUAUCGAAGCUACUCUGUCAGCCAAAAUAGUGAUAGACAUGUUCUGAAUGAGGGAGAAAAAUAAGGGCGAAUAUCAAUGAUUGAAAAGUUUGCUCGGGCUGCCAUAACAAAAUGCCAUGGACUGUGUGGCUUAAACAACAGAGAUUAAUUUUCUCACAUCUCUGGAGGCUACAAGCUCAAGGUGUUGGCAGGUCUGGUUUCUCCCGAAGCCUCUCUCCCUGGUUUGCAGAUUUACAGGCCAGUUGUUGACAUUGUAGUAUCCUCUCUUUGAACACUGGAAUUGAGCAACUUCAAAGAGUCAUUGGACCAAGGUCUUCAUGCUUCAAAUAAACCUGCAUCAAAGAAACCUGGCUAGAAGACAAAGAUCAUGCUUUAUUCCCCCACAAAAGGAUUAUGUUUAGAUUUAAUGUUGAUGCCUCAGUUAAGUGCUCACUUUGAAAAUCAAUACAACAUUGUGUGCUUGGUUGGCUCAAUACCUCUCAGUCAAUAUUAAUAAAAAAACAGCAACAAAACAA